GGAAGCGUAGCUCAAUUGGCAGAGCACCCGGCUGAUAAUCGGGCGGUUGUAGGUUCAAGUCCUGCCGUUUCCACCA
rnacentral:tRNA from 1 species